GUAGGUUAUAGUAAUAUGGGUUGGCAUGUCUGCCAUAGAAUAUGUUAGGGUUUUGAGGAGACAUGUGUGCCUCUUCUUUCCCAGAAACAAAAAGUAAAGCAAAUUUGGGGAUUUACGAAGAAUGGAAAUGUUACUGUAAGAUCAGCUUAUUAUGUUUGUAGCACUUCAAUCAAUGGCUGCCAUUGUUACUAACUAAUGCCCAAUCUUCAACAAGUUCGGCGCAUAACCAAAAAGUUUCUCAAUUUGUUUGGAGAGCUUGUACGGACACACUUCCAACCAAAGUAAAUUUGAUGAACAGUCGAAGUAUUUCUGAUCAUAUUUGCGGUGGAGAUUUAGAAACUCUGUGUCACUUGUUCCUCCGUUGUCCCUUUUGCUAUCUGUCUUUGUAUUUAUUGUUGAAUAUAUAAUUUGUAUUUCAAAAAGCCUUUUAUUUCAC
rnacentral:lncRNA from 1 species